rnacentral:rRNA from 1 species
GACGUAGGGGCCAGCGUUGUUCGGAAUUACUGGGUGUAAAGGGUUCGUAGGCGGUGUGGCAAGUUCGGGAGUGAAAUUUCUGGGCUCAACUCAGAGACUGCUUCCGAAACUGCUGUGCUUGAGUGUGGGAGAGGCGCGUGGAAUUGCAGGUGUAGCGGUGAAAUGCGUAGAUAUCUGCAGGAACACCCGUGGCGAAAGCGGCGCGCUGGACCACUACUGACGCUGAGGAACGAAAGCUAGGGGAGCAAACAGG